GAUGAACGCUGGCGGCGUGCCUAAUACAUGCAAGUCGAGCGAACGGACGAGAAGCUUGCUUCUCUGAUGUUAGCGGCGGACGGGUGAGUAACACGUGGAUAACCUACCUAUAAGACUGGGAUAACUUCGGGAAACCGGAGCUAAUACCGGAUAAUAUUUUGAACCGCAUGGUUCAAAAGUGAAAGACGGUCUUGCUGUCACUUAUAGAUGGAUCCGCGCUGCAUUAGCUAGUUGGUAAGGUACCGGCUUACCAAGGCAACGAUGCAUAGCCGACCUGAGAGGGUGAUCGGCCACACUGGAACUGAGACACGGUCCAGACUCCUACGGGAGGCAGCAGUAGGGAAUCUUCCGCAAUGGGCGAAAGCCUGACGGAGCAACGCCGCGUGAGUGAUGAAGGUCUUCGGAUCGUAAAACUCUGUUAUUAGGAAAGAACAUAUGUGUAAGUAACUGUGCACAUCUUGACGGUACCUAAUCAGAAAGCCACGGCUAACUACGUG
rnacentral:rRNA from 1 species